UUGCAGGUGUGCCUCUUCUCUUUAUAAAUCGCAACACAAUACUUCUUGAGAAACCUUCAACCACAUCCCAUCAAGCAUCUGAAAAGGUUGAAAUGUCUCGUCUCCAACCUUCUAAACAUGAAAAAGAAACGCUAGAAAAGCUGAGCGACUCCACAACAGAACUAAAACCACGCCGUAAACGAAAACGACCGGGGGGGCCAAAUCCACUCUCGGUACUGAAAAGCAAGAGGAAAAAGGACGACAAACACUCAGCUAGCGACGAUACCAAG